rnacentral:rRNA from 1 species
GGAGUAGUGUGGUUUAAUUCGAUGCAACGCGAAGAACCUUACCUGGUCUUGACAUCCCGGAGACCCUUAGGAGACUAGGGGUGCUUCCAUCUGGAAGAAUCUGGAGACAGGUGCUGCAUGGCUGUCGUCAGCUCGUGUCGUGAGAUGUUGGGUUAAGUCCCGCAACGAGCGCAACCCUUGCCUUUAGUUGCCAGCAGUUCGGCUGGGCACUCUAAAGGGACUGCCGGUGUUAAACCGGAGGAAGGUGGGGAUGACGUCAAGUCCUCAUGGCCUUUAUGACCAGGGCUACACACGUACUACAAUGGCCGAUACAAAGGGCAGCGACACUGCGAGGUGAAGCCAAUCCCGUAAAAUCGGUCUCAGUCCGGAUUGGAGUCUGCAACUCGACUCCAUGAAGUUGGAAUCGCUAGUAAUCGUGGAUCAGCAUGCCACGGUGAAUACGUUCCCGGGCCUU